UCAGGUAUUUCUGACAACAUGUGCAUUUAUUUGUAUUAGAAGUACAAACGUAGGAAUCCAAAUACAAAUACAGAGGGCGGCCCAGCCACGAGGCCCAGCUGAGGGCGCGGCGGGGACGGGACGCACGAAGCGGGGCGCGGCGCCGCCCGUGUCGCCAAGGCACGUCGGGCGCCGGUGCGCCCUCAUUUCACUAGGACACCACGAGCCGCACGGAUAGCGGGGAGCCACGUCCUCUGCGGAGGGGAGGAGGGCGGUGGGACCUCGGGACCGCCCGGAGCCAGGGCCUCCAAUCCCUCGCGGGACGACAGGGACACAGGGGCUACUGGAGGCCACUUGGUGAGGGCGGGGACCCUGCUGGGGCAGGAGGCGCACGCACUGGGGCAGGGCGCGGCCCCCUCGGGGCCAAGCGCAUCCACACCAGUGCUCUAAGAUGAUUCCAAAAUGUUGUCGGAUUCUGGAAUCUCCCGGCCUACCUCCCAUCUGGAGGACAAUGGCUUCACAGGCAGGAAGGAUUCCAUGGGAACAGAGAGCAGUCCGCGCCUCUCUCCAUCCCUUCCUGCCUGGGCCAUCUCCCAGGACCCCUGACAGUUUCACUUCCCACACAGGCUUCACAGAGAGAGGACCCUGCCAGCACCCCGGCUGCUUCAAGCCCGACCUGACGCCUUCCUGUGACCUGCGAAUACGACUUCCUAGACAAGGGUGGGGAUAGCUGUUUGCCAUCAAAAUCUUGAAAACUACUUUCGGCUUAUCGGGUCAACUUGACCAGAAUGCACGAAUGAUCAAGGAGUUGCCCAGGUGUGCACCCAAGUCACAACAGUGAUGCUCAAGGGCUCUCCAAAGGAGGCAGGCUUGUGUGGACGCCAGAGGGACUCCUGAUCAGAAAUUGCAGAUGAAAUUUCUUAUGGGUAGAGUUUAAAAUCACUCAGGAAAAGCACUCAAAAAGAGUUGCAAGAUCAUGGAGUGAAUUCAAAGCACUUUGUGCCUUGAGAGCACUGAACUGAUACAGUGAUAAUAAUGGUUGGAGACCAGGUAUAAUUCUUCAAGUCUCAAAGGAAAUCACAGAAAAUUUCCAUUUUGGCAGCUGAGAUAAAAAUGAUC
rnacentral:antisense_RNA from 1 species